CGGACCGGCGCACGGGUGAGUAACGCGUAUGCAACUUACCUAUAAAGGGGGAGUAACCCGGCGAAAGUCGGACUAAUACCGCAUGAAGCAGGGGUCCCGCAUGGGGAUAUUUGCUAAAGAUUCAUCGCUGAUAGAUAGGCAUGCGUUCCAUUAGGCAGUUGGCGGGGUAACGGCCCACCAAACCGACGAUGGAUAGGGGUUCUGAGAGGAAGGUCCCCCACAUUGGUACUGAGACACGGACCAA
rnacentral:rRNA from 1 species